ACUCCUACGGGAGGCAGCAGUGGGGAAUAUUGGACAAUGGGCGCAAGCCUGAUCCAGCCAUGCCGCGUGAGUGAUGAAGGCCUUAGGGUUGUAAAGCUCUUUCACCGGGAAGAUAAUGACGGUACCGAGAAGAAGCCCCGGCUAACUUCGNGCCAUGCAGCCGCGGUAAUACGAAGGGGGCUAGCGUUGUUCGGAAUUACUGGGCGUAAAGCGCACGUAGGCGGACAUUUAAGUCAGGGGUGAAAUCCCAGAGCUCAACUCUGGAACUGCCUUUGAUACUGGGUGUCUUGA
rnacentral:rRNA from 1 species